rnacentral:rRNA from 1 species
GACGAAGGGGGCUAGCGUUGUUCGGAAUUACUGGGCGUAAAGCGAGUGUAGGUGGUUGUCCAAGUUGGAUGUGAAAGCCUUGAGCUCAACUCAAGAAAUGCAUUCAGGACUGGGCGGCUAGAGGACCGGAGAGGAUAGUGGAAUUCCCAGUGUAGUGGUGGAAUACGUAGAGAUUGGGAAGAACACCAGUGGCGAAGGCGGCUAUCUGGACGGUUUCUGACACUAAGACUCGAAAGCGUGGGGAGCAAACAGG